GCCGCCAUUAAUUGUCAUGUCUCGUUUGUCGCCAUUCGUCAUGUCACUUUAUUUUGUUAGUAGAGGACCAAGUGUGUCGCGAUUUUCUUUUUCUGGCCAUCCGCAUUUUCUUCAAAUGUUUCCGGUUCCUGUAAACUGAUCAAGUGUUCGAAUUUAUUGUGGCCUCGUGUGGGCGAACCCUUGCAACUUGGUGCUGCUGGUAUGAAAAAUGAAAUGGCCAGUACCAACACGACAGUUUUCGAUUUAGAUGACGGAGAGGAGUUCGUCUAAACUCUUCCACCACUUUGUUUCUAAGAUUGAACAGUGUGGAUGAACCCUAAUGUUCAGAUUCUGUUGGAAUGCUGAAAUCUCUGUGCAGAGAUCGUUACAUUCUGGUGGCCUAUCUAUCACUGCUGGUUACCACUUUCAACAAUUUCAUGAUACCUUGGACCAAACACGGUGAAAUUGAGCUUAACUAUUGUCACUACCUGAAUCGAAUUUUUACUGCCAUCCAGUAGUUCUUCACUCUCCAGUCCGAGGCAUCAACCUUGUUAUUUUUUUGGAACUAAUGGACUAAACACAUUCUGGUGAUGAGGCUUUUUUUCUUUGAUGAAGCAACUGGAGUUCUUCGACUUCAGCGUAGACAAUUGGCAUAUUGCGAACGAAGCCCAGCCAACAACAUCAUUGGCGCAAGUAACGAUGGUUCAACUGUCGCUGGAGAAAGUCUGGGGUUCGACAUCUCUCAUACCGGUCUGUUACAGCAGCAGCCAACCCUCUAGUUCUACGGUGACACGAUUGUCCCACGUCUUAAAAUGAUAAUCGAUCUGGCUCCCCCCGAACUGUUAAUCUUAUGUUGUUUUCUUUUAGAUGCAGUGCAUUAGUGUUAGUAGAUGUGUGAGUUACAUUUAUGGUGGUUAAUAUCAUACAGACAUAGAGUACAGACGGACAUGGGAAACAGUACAAAACAGUAUUGGGAUGUACGGAUAUGGGGAGGGAUUUGAAAGGUGGCCGGGAGUAGGAGUCGUAUCAACACUAGGCGCCAUAUCCAUGGUCGCACAUUCAGGUUCAAUUAUUUCCGGAGGCAAAUCAUAGCCUUAAAUUAGAGUCAAGCUGAUUUUCUAAGUUUUUUUAUCGUAUUAAGUCAUAACAAUACCUAAGUAGGAUAGCCUUCGACUGCUAUGUGUGAGUCUCGUGUUAAAAUCCAAGUUUAUACAACUUGUAUUUAAUAUGUGGUAUCCUAGUUUCCUAUUGUAGUUCUUGCUUUGUGACUGGCUUCAUAUUUUAAUUUAAUGUUACAUAUUCAAGUUACAUAGCUGCAAUCACGGUUCAUUGACUUAUUCAAGACACAACGUUUGCAGUCACGGAUGUGUGUUCGUGCCAAGUUUUCUGCUUCAUCGAUCGUGUGAGCCUGUAUGAAGAUGUGGUCUCGCGUCUCCAAAGUCAAGUCCCAACAGGUGGUUGGAACAAAACAGUAAAGUCAAACAUGUGGUAAUUGCCUAGUCUCCCAGAUCACGUCGGUAAAAGAAUCGUAAAAAGUGUAAGCCUUGAAAGUGCGGUAUGAUGCCAGUGGCUAUGAAGAAACUAGUUGUGAAGAACAAGUGAAGUGAAGUGAAAUGUUCAGUGAUAACCAGCUGGAGUGGACCAUUGCUGAAAUAACAGGAACUCCAUCAGUCUACACUCUAAAAGUGCAUCACUGACAACAUUUCCAGGCAGUAAUCCAGUAAUGAAGAAAAAGUACCUGAUGGAGUGAGCUAAAACGUCAAGUUUCAGCCUACCCAAUUGAAAUGCUUAAGCUAGGCUAUAUCCAUGUCAAAAUGGCCCAUUUCGGAAUUCCAAUCCAAUUAAUCUUCAACUUAUGUCUAGUGGUAUAGUCUCUGCAUGGCACGCCGGAGACCCGGGUUCAACUCCGAUCGGAGUCACCCAUUGUUCCAUUUUUCCAAAUAUUUUCGCAACUUGCAACAAUUGGAUAUUAAAAGGUCGUAUUGCGAAGCUUAGAGGCUUUCUCUUAACUCUGACAUCGUAACUUACCCGAAGGUCCUGCAACGUGAGUCAUAAUUUGUUUUAACUGUGUUAUUCAUCACGAUAAAAAUGCCGCACUGUUUCUUGCGAAUCUCUCAUGUGCAUGUGAAAUGAUAAAACUAGUAAAACCAUUUUGAAAAA